GAUGAAGAACGCAGCGAAAUGCGAUAAGUAGUGUGAAUUGCAGAAUUCAGUGAAUCAUCGAAUCUUUGAACGCACAUUGCGCCCCUUGGUAUUCCAUGGGGCAUGCCUGUUCGAGCGUCAUUUGUACCCUCAGGCUCUGCUUGGUGUUGGGUGUUUGUCCACUCCCUGGUGUCUGGACUCGCCUUAAAGCAAUUGGCAGCCAGUGUUUUGGUAUUGAAGCGCAGCACAUUUUGCGUCUCCAGCCUAGAACGCUUGCGUCCAGUAAGCCUUUUUCCACUUUUGACCUCGGAUCAGGUAGGGAUACCCGCUGAACUUAAGCAUAUCAAUAAGCGGAGGA
rnacentral:misc_RNA from 1 species